rnacentral:rRNA from 1 species
UAGGGAAUCUUCGGCAAUGGACGAAAGUCUGACCGAGCAACGCCGCGUGAGUGAAGAAGGUUUUCGGAUCGUAAAACUCUGUUGUUAGAGAAGAACAAGGACGUUAGUAACUGAACGUCCCCUGACGGUAUCUAACCAGAAAGCCACGGCUAACUACGUGCCAGCAGCCGCGGUAAUACGUAGGUGGCAAGCGUUGUCCGGAUUUAUUGGGCGUAAAGCGAGCGCAGGCGGUUUCUUAAGUCUGAUGUGAAAGCCCCCGGCUAAACCGGGGAGGGUCAUUGGAAACGGGGGGACUUGGGUGCAGAAGAGGAGAGUGGAAUUCCAUGUGUAGCGGUGAAAUGCGUAGAUAUAUGGAGGAACACCAGUGGCGAAGGCGGCUCUCUGGUCUGUAACUGACGCUGAGGCUCGAAAGCGUGGGGAGCAAACAGG